rnacentral:rRNA from 1 species
AAUGAACGUUGGCGGCGUGGAUUAGGCAUGCAAGUCGCGCGAGAACCCGCAAGGGGGAAAGCGGCGAAAGGGACAGUAAUAUGUAGAUACCUACCCUCUGGACCGGAAUAGCUGCGGGAAACUGCAGGUAAUGCCGGAUAAAGUCUUCGGACCAAAGGUGUGAGUCCGCCGGGGGAGUGGGUCUGCAUCCUAUUAGCUAGUUGGUGAGGUAACGGCUCACCAAGGCCAUGAUGGGGUAGCGGGUGUGAGAGCACGACCCGCGUCACUGGGACUGAGACACUGCCCAGACACCUACGGGUGGCUGCAGUCGAGGAUCUUCGGCAAUGGGCGCAAGCCUGACCGAGCGACGCCGCGUGUGGGAUGAAGGCCUUCGGUUG